rnacentral:rRNA from 1 species
AUGACGAGGCACUACGGUGCUGAAGCAACAAAUGCCCUGCUUCCAGGAAAAGCCUCUAAGCAUCAGGUAACAUCAAAUCGUACCCCAAACCGACACAGGUGGUCAGGUAGAGAAUACCAAGGCGCUUGAGAGAACUCGGGUGAAGGAACUAGGCAAAAUGGUGCCGUAACUUCGGGAGAAGGCACGCUGAUAUGUAGGUGAAGCGACUUGCUCGUGGAGCUGAAAUCAGUCGAAGAUACCAGCUGGCUGCAACUGUUUAUUAAAAACACAGCACUGUGCAAACACGAAAGUGGACGUAUACGGUGUGACGCCUGCCCGGUGCCGGAAGGUUAAUUGAUGGGGUUAGCGGUAACGCGAAGCUCUUGAUCGAAGCCCCGGUAAACGGCGGCCGUAACUAUAACGGUCCUAAGGUAGCGAAAUUCCUUGUCGGGUAAGUUCCGACCUGCACGAAUGGCGUAAUGAUGGCCAGGCUGUCUCCACCCGAGACUCAGUGAAAUUGAACUCGCUGUGAAGAUGCAGUGUACCCGCGGCAAGACGGAAAGACCCCGUGAACCUUUACUAUAGCUUGACACUGAACAUUGAGCCUUGAUGUGUAGGAUAGGUGGGAGGCUUUGAAGUGUGGACGCCAGUCUGCAUGGAGCCGACCUUGAAAUACCACCCUUUAAUGUUUGAUGUUCUAACGUUGGCCCGUUAUCCGGGUUGCGGACAGUGUCUGGUGGGUAGUUUGACUGGGGCGGUCUCCUCCUAAAGAGUAACGGAGGAGCACGAAGGUUGGCUAAUCCUGGUCGGACAUCAGGAGGUUAGUGCAAUGGCAUAAGCCAGCUUGACUGCGAGCGUGACGGCGCGAGCAGGUGCGAAAGCAGGUCAUAGUGAUCCGGUGGUUCUGAAUGGAAGGGCCAUCGCUCAACGGAUAAAAGGUACUCCGGGGAUAACAGGCUGAUACCGCCCAAGAGUUCAUAUCGACGGCGGUGUUUGGCACCUCGAUGUCGGCUCAUCACAUCCUGGGGCUGAAGUAGGUCCCAAGGGUAUGGCUGUUCGCCAUUUAAAGUGGUACGCGAGCUGGGUUUAGAACGUCGUGAGACAGUUCGGUCCCUAUCUGCCGUGGGCGCUGGAGAACUGAGGGGGGCUGCUCCUAGUACGAGAGGACCGGAGUGGACGCAUCACUGGUGUUCGGGUUGUCAUGCCAAUGGCACUGCCCGGUAGCUAAAUGCGGAAGAGAUAAGUGCUGAAAGCAUCUAAGCACGAAACUUGCCCCGAGAUGAGUUCUCCCUGACUCCUUGAGAGUCCUGAAGGAACGUUGAAGACGACGACGUUGAUAGGCCGGGUGUGUAAGCGCAGCGAUGCGUUGAGCUAACCGGUACUAAUGAACCGUGAGG